GGUUUCUCCUGUAUUUGGUUGUGUAACUGAAGAUCCGUUGGGACGGCGGCUUGGAGGAAGCUAAUCCACCCUUGAAAGAGUAAAGCCUAUUUUGGUCUGUAUUAGCCAGCUGACCAACAUGGCCCAGUCAGGGCUUCCUUAGACAUAAUAGGUUGAGUCAGGUUCAGUUUGGGCUCUUAGUCAGGGAUACAUUUUCCGAUGUGACUUUAUCAUGCGUUUAAUAGUUUAAAUAAAGUUUCCUGACUACCACUGACAUUAAGAUGCGAGUUAGUGUGGUGACCGGGGAGAAUUUGGUUUAGAGCAGUUAAAGCGUUGUGGACAUUUCCAUGCAGAAUCCCAACUCUAAUGUCUCAGAAUUAGCAAGCAGAAUAUACAUUUCAUGACAAAAUAAGCUAAUUAGAAGUGUAACAGAGGUUACAUGAAGUGGACAAGCCUACUGGGGAGACAUGACCGCAAGUCAAAUAAUAGGUCAAAACUGGGUUUCUACAUUUAAAUAAAAGUAUUGGAAACAGAUACCUGUCAGUUCACUCUAAACACCAGGGACAUUGUCCUUGAUACCUAACUGAGGAGUAUUUACCACUGUAGAAGUCAGAGUUAGUAUGGAUGUCAAAGGCAUUAAAAUAUUGCAGAUUUAAUAAACCAAAUAUAUCAUAACAUUUGUCUUUCGAGUGUUGGAAUGUAGACAACCAUGUCUUAUUAGUUAUAUGUAUUACAUUAUUGUAACAGUAUGCAGAACAUGACAAUAAGUCACUUUAUUUUGUGGCAAUGCUCUUUCAAUUUCUUUCUUUAAAAAGAAUCGCUAUAAAAUAGCACUUCCAUGAAUGAUAGCUGCAUACCAACAUAUUCAAGAACAUCUGAUAUCAGAAUGUUUCAAAAAACAAAAGUAUACAGACAAUAAUUGAGUAGGACAUUGUAGAUUUUACAGUCGGCUUUACAGAAAAGGUUUCAGGGUAAGCCAAUGAAAUGAGCUGGCAUGGAAAUUAAAAACAUGAUCUAAAAUCUGCCUUUAAAAGACUGGAAUACAAAUAGCAAACAAACCCAAUAAUAAUCCGCCCAGCCUAGCAUGGUUGCUUCCUUACCAACUCAUCUUCAUAACUAACACUAACUCAGGGGACAGCAUGGAGUGUCAAAACCUCUAUAUGCACUCCUAAAGUCCCUGAAAUGCACUGAUACUUGGCCACCUACCAUAAAUGCCAGAAUUCAUGCCGUUCCUUACAUACACUGGUCAAAUAAAGCCUAUACACUUCACAAUAUAUGGACUUAUAUAAAAUAUGGUUUAAUUUGGGAAGCAUCCAUUUUGGAAAGCUCAGGCUGAGAUUCAUGUCAAAUCGACUUCUGUAAUUUAGCUGUUUACAGAAGGCCCCAGGAUUUUCCUUCCAGAAUGAGUAGAGAUUAGGUAUUCCCAAAUAGGCCCAUAUAUCUGGACAUAUUUACCCACCCAUCGCACAGAACAUCCCCAGAGCGUAGCAGUGUACAUCGUGGUGAUGAACAGUUACUCACAGCUGCCGAGGGAGGCAUGCACUGAUGAACUCACUUCUUCAAAUACACUAGGCGUUGCCUCUUAUCAACCCAAACUUCGAACGAAACUGGCGCAAUAUUGUUUCUGUGGGAAUCAUGGUGCAAAACAUCAGGUCUUCUUCGACUACAGCGUUUCUUAAAAGCCGAUGUUGUCCAAGCCCCAUAGAGGCUCCAUGAACGAGAAGGAGAGCCCGCUGGAGAAGGAACAUAUUCUGACAGUACUUCUACCAGGAGGCCUGGAGAAAAGGACCACGGUGCAUGGAAGUACACCUGUGAUGGACUUACUGGUCUCGCUCUGUGCCCAGUACCACCUGAACCCGUCUGACUUCACAGUAGAACUCCAGUCUGCCAAUAGAAACGACAUCGCCUGCAAACCCAGCUCCCUGAUUGGAGCCAUGGAGGCUGACCGGAUCAUCCUGAAACCUAAAGGGGUAGAGGAGAAGAUAAGGAAACCGUAUGUGCCUGAGGCAACAGUACGACUGCUUGUUAACUAUAAGAAGAACCACAAGGCUGUAGUGAGGGUCAACCCUAGAGUUCCUCUACAGCGCCUCCUGCCUACCAUUUGUGAGAAGUGCGAGUUUGACCUUGAGUCCACCAUCUUACUGAAAAACAACUCUGAAGAACCUUUGGACUUAACUAAGUCUCUCAACGACUACGGGCUGAGGGAGCUGCAUGCCAAAGAAGCUGCCGUUGUCAGUCCAGCUGUCAGUCUGGAAGUGGUAAUCACACCACCCCCACCAGAAGAAGCACAAGCAGCAGAAAACUCCAGCUUGCCAGAUAAAGGGAAGAAACAGAAGGAGAACAAGGGAUUGUUCAGUUUAUUCAGGAGAAUUAAGAAGAAACCUGAUAAGGUCACAUUUUUUUUACUCUUCUACAGCUUAGCUUUACUAUUACAGUCAACCGUUAUCUACAAACAUGUUGGAAUAGAUGACACUCAACAUGACUGCCGGUUGUCUUUGCUGGGCCAAGCCAGAUUGGAGUGCGUGUUUAAAAUGUUAGCGUGCCCUGAUAAAGCUUUGCAUUUUGCGGUCGGCUCUCUUCUCCAGGGGGUUUCUGGGAGUGCCCCGGCCUCACCGGGUUUGAAGAACCACAGGGUCACCAGUGUCAGCAUGAACUCCCUGGGUGGCCCCUCCAACACCCUGCCAGCUAAGAAGAGACGGGCACCUCAGCCCCCCCUGGCAAGCUCUCGGAGUGUCCCGGCGAACCUCAACAUACAGCCGCCGACUUCUAGGAAGAAGAAGCGCGCCCCGCCGCCACCCCCCUGUGCUAACACGCGGAACCGGCCACUCCAGGGCCCUGAGGUCAAAGGGAACGAAGUGUCCCUAUACACAGUGGAGGAGGAGGUUGGGGAGAGCCAGGGCCAGGACUCGCCGUCCUCAGCCUCAUCCGAAAACAGCCCCAGCCCCCUGACCCAACCCCGAUUUCCCUCGUCAUCGUCCCCGACUACCCUUCGACCCUUCAAUCCCUACCCCACAAGCCCUCCCCCACCCACCUCCGUAGCGGAGACGCUGACCCCGUUCCUGCUUUGUCAGACUCGGGCCAAACUCAAGCACCCGUCCCCCUCCAGCCCGAGGGAGGUGAACUCCGUCGUCGGGGGCCCGCCUGGAUCCUCGACGCGGCCACAGGGCCUUCAGGAGGUCAGUCCCCUCCAUCUGCUCCAGCUCAGGGCCAAGGUGUUGGGAGGGGCCUGGAGGAACCCCGGUCAGAGAGAGGGAAUGACCACGUUCACCGUGGUGCCCCGCGCGCAGACUCCCAGGAGGCAACAGGGCCCUGGGGCGGACCUGACCCUGGGAAAGACCUCAGAACCACCUCAAACCGUGGAUGAAACCCAUAAUGGGGUUCCAGACCCGGAAUGGGAGGACCAGCAGUCAGUCAAUGAGUGGUCUGAGGUCGAGGGACCCGGUCUGAAGCCUAAUAUGAAAUCCAAGUGUUCUCCUCUAAGGACUCCAGAAGGUUCUCCUCUUAGGACUCCUGAAGAAUCUACUGGCCGUGUUCUGAGUCCUCAUGGUUUGUCUCGUUCUGUUGAGCUACACCAGACGGAAACGAAUUCCCCUGUGGAACCCCACGGGGCGGAGUCACUUUCACCCAUUCAUGCUGAGGAGAGUCCGGACUCAGGAGUCCAAGUCCAGGAGGAUUUGGAGUCCCUCUCAGAGGUGUCCAAUCCGUAUGGAACUGUCCUCUUUGCCCACACCGGUGAUACGCCUGGAAAUGAGAUGAUCUCACCUCCUCAACCAGAGAGCCGACGAUCGUUCCAGGAGCCCAGCCCGAUGUUGGAAGAAGAUAAGGAGGGCGAAGAAGACCGUUUCUGUUUCCCUCCUCCUCCUCCCCCUCUUUGCCAUAACAAGGAGGGAGAGGAGACGCAUGCCACCCAGCCAAUAGUGAGGCUUCCUGGGGGGCGAAACCCCAGCCCUCCCUCCUAUCCUCCCCCUCACUCCCCUCUGCUGAGUCCUACCUCAAGUGUUCCAGCAGAGGGAGAUGAUUUGACCAACUUCCCGUCUCUAACCAAACCGAACAUGAUUCGUCUGACUCUGCCCACGCCGUACGUGCCUCCCGGCGCCUCCGGGUCCCUGGCCAGGAAGACGGCCAUCUCGUCCUGCUUUGCCCAGGCUGUGGCUUCAGCCGUGCGGAGGGCACAGUCGUCCGCUCCCAGACGACCGACUGCAGACCCAGUCCCUCCCUCGGGCUCUUCCCACUCGUCGGCCGUGCCUCUAUCGAACACGGGGUCAGAAUGACUGCCCAGUACGUCUGUGAGCAAAGUUCCUGUUUAGGGUGAGGCAACCUACCGCAGAGCCAGAAUGACCUUACUGUGACUCUGCUCGGAGGUCAACUGGCACAUUACGAAGAAGUCUGGACACCUGUUUUGCAGUCAGCUCAGUGUAUGAACAGUCUUUGUAAACUAUGUUUAUCCAACAGCAAUCCUCUGUGUGGGUGGGUCCUAACCCUCAAGGGCAGCAGCGAUGUCACACGGCUGUUGUCAUGGAGAAUGCCAUUAUCACCCCUAAGGUAGAGCUACGUCUCCACAUUGAAGGGGAAAGAAGGACACACGUGUACACACACACGCACACACGCUCACAUACACUGAACUGAAGCUACCUAAAGACAUCCAGUACAAGUGACAACUCUGGCAUUCUCCUUCUUGUGAUGAAAGGUUGCGUUUCAACCCGAGUUAUGAUGUCACAUCCUGUCAGGUGACUAAGCAAACAUUCAAGGCAGGAGGUGAAUCUCAUUGGGUGUCCAGCACUGUGUAUUUCCGGGAAAUUAAUAUUGGGUCUGUCAUAUACAUCACAGCUGCACGGUCAUCACAGGCCAUUAACAAAUACUUUGAUUAAAACCGAGCCUUUCACAUGAAGAUGCUGUCCUGUAUCCAUCCAGGGGCUUUUCUCUUUGAACUUAGAUACACACACACACACACACACACACUCACACACACUCACACACACGUUGUGGCAUGUAAAUAUGAUCUGCCUCUAGUUGGCUACAACACUACUAAAGCCUGUUGUUAGUUUACACUGAUUUGGUUUCUGGCAUUUGUCGUUGAAAUGAGAAUGCAUCAAUGCACAAGCAGAAGUGAACCCCAAGCCUUUGGUACACACAGUAUAGUGGGCCUAUUUGGGGUGGCCCUUGGCAUGGUGAACAGCAUUAUGGCCUAAAAACCUGGUUGCCUCUGUAACGAGACUGACAUUUGUCCUCAAGUAAAAGUACUCUGCUGUGUUCUCCAGUUUUGGGACAUUCCAAAGGAAGAGCUAAAUGACCAGGUGAACAGAGUUCAUAACUAACCAGUAGCCCCUGUAAAUUGAUAAUUUACACUCUUCAUUUAAUUGAUCACUGGUUAGUUUUGAGCUUCAUUUACCUGGUUACUUAGAUCUUAAUUAGAUACUCCCCUAAAUUAAUGAACAAAUCCGAGCCCAGUUGAGUACAUUUACUUUGUACUUUUUACACCUCUGCUCAAGAGGAUUUAACUUUGUAACUGCAAGUCAAUUAACCCCAAGCACAGAAAUCCACAAGUGAACUACUGCUGAAGCACAACAUUUUGCAGUGGCCAUAUCAGUCUUCGCACUUGAAUCCCAUUGAAAACAUUUGGUUUAUAUUGGAGAAGGCCGUCUAUGGUAUUCUUCCAGAUCAAUGAGAUUCCAGGAUCUCAAGGAUCUGGAAGGAUUCUGCAUGGAAGAACAGCAUAAAUGACGAAAGGAACAGGCUCAGUCUUGAGGAGGGAAACAAGGAAGCAAAUACUUUUGUCACUUAUUUUUGGGUUGAAACACAAUUUAACUUUUUCUAAUUUAACUUGGGCAAUUUCAGAUGAGUCUCUUGAAUCAUUAUUAAAGAAGUAGUAGUUCAUAGCACCCUGUCGUUAUUACUCGUCAUGGUUACAUAUACUGUGUAUUAAAACAUAGAAUUGGGACCCGUUACUAAGAAAGAAACUGUGCGUGCUUUGGAUAAAUUACAUCAAGAUGGAGUACGUAAUGAACAGGCAGCCUUGUCACUUGUGGGAAGCAUUGAACGGCUGUGGGAGAAGAAAUGUCUGUCUUUAUAUCCGUCAGGUUUGUACAUUUAAUACCGUUAUGGCUCAAUUUCUCGUGCUACUGAUUACAAGUAACAUAAUCCCAUCUUAAACUAUUUUUCAAACACACACGCAUCUGACAUGUUUUCAUGUCCACUGUAACUACAAUGGAACUUCCCACACAAUAAUUGUUAAUUCGCACUUAUAUAAUACUGUUUAUGUAUUUAUUCUGUCAUCUGUACAUAUAUUUACAUAUAGAAUUUUUUUCAGCUAUUCAAUGUGUGUGUAUUCAGUGUGAUUUAACAGAAUACUUAGGGCUGAUAAUGUAAUGGAGAUUUUGAUCUUAGGAGUGUUUCUGUGUUGGUACGACCUCCUGUUGGUGUGUGUGUGUGAGUGUGUGUGUGUUUUCUGGAGAUACAAGCAAUCGAUGAAUAACCCACAGCGUUGUUGUCCUGAUCAUACUGACUAGCUAGCUGGUGGAGGAGAGGGGCAGAUCAGUUCUCUACUCUAGAGCUCCACCUGGGGACUAACCCCACCCUCAGAUAGAGAUGCAGGAGAGAGAAGUUUAGCACAGCCAGAGGGGCUGUUGUGUUGGGAAACAAAUGCGGGGGAGAACAUGUUUGACCUUUGACCUGGAACAUGUAUUCAGCUGAUCCCCUCUGCUUGGGAAUAUUGGGAAAUCAGUUUGUUCCAUGUAAUGCGUACUGUCAGGAUUUAUAGUGGUGCUUUUUGUAUGACUAUUAGGGAAAUGACACAAGGCUUGCUGACAAAAAAAUGGAUUCUGGUAAAUCUUAUUUUCACAUGAAAAUAUUUUUCAGGCCUAAAAUGAAUUUGAAUAGCUGGCAAACGAUUUACAACCAUUCACUAUAUAUGUGAACCACAUGGGGUCAGCUGUUACAAAGCUAAUUGUUCUUGUGCUUCUCAGUGAAACUGGCAUUCAUCAUUUUCAGCUCGGAAAUUGUUUCUCCCUGGAAUAAACACUACAUCAACAAACAAUGUAUUGUAGCUACUGUAAUAUAGGACUCUGGCUUAUUAAAUGUAUUUGUAUCUUUAUAUGUAUGUAAAAUAUUUUUCUACAGCAAAACGUAAAUCCUAAUUAUUCAAACAAAUCUAUUAAUUUGACCUUCAAUUUGGACUGUGGACUUCAUAAUUAACAACCAGCUGUCUACUAGAUGUCUAUUUUUACUGACUUUGGGCGUUGAUGGAUUAUUUUAUUUUUUACCUAACAGGGGGAUUUGUGUUUUUCUAAAAUGUUGCAUUGGUAAUUUACAUCUUGAAGCAGAUGCAUAUCAUGUGUAUCAGUUUGACUGAAUGCCUAAAUCAGUAAAACAGAGUAAUACAUUUUUUUAUUUCUACAGAUUGUUGGAAUAGUUGAGUUAUUCCCAACUAUGACUCCAUUUAUGAAAUGUCAGACUCUCAAGAUAACUUACACGUCUUCUGAAUCCAAAUACAAAGAUGUGUAGGUCUUGUUAAAAUGGAUGAAGAAAUAGAGAAGCUUUAUUUGUCCCACUGCGUUAAUUUCACUUGAAAGUUUUCCCUUAUAUUACUGUUCUUAUGUUGUGUACUCACAUGUCUAGAAUCGAAAUGCCUUUGUCCAGGUUGUCUUUGAAAUUGAGAAUUGAUCAAAUUAAAAAUACAUUAAACAAAAGAAACGUUAGGAGUAUCUGCUAAUUAUAUGGGUUGGAUCACUGCAGAGCCCUGAAUCCAUGUAACAGUAUAUUAAACAAUAAUGUAUAAAUAUUGACUUUGUCAGACCCCCCUGCCUUACCCAGAUCCUCCUAAAGGUUUGGCAGCUUGGGCAGUGAUUAUUUAUUUUUAUUUUAUUUUUUCAAAUGUGGCUCCCUUAACCACCACUGGUAAAGCUCAAGAUAAAAUAUGAUACAUUCAUUUAGCAGUCAAGUGUUGUGUGAGUGGAGCCCUAAGAUCUUUCCAGGGUGUUGAUUCAUCUUCUCAGGGCAGCCUGCCUUUCUAACAUCAUGGAUAGGGAGGGGCUACGCAUCUUCUAAAGGGAAACUCUGCCUUGAUGUCAACUGGUCAAGUCUGUUUAUAUUGUUGCUGCCCUAGCUAACAUGUUCCUGUCCAUCUUAUUGGCACUCAUACCGAAAAAUAUCAAGGAAGAGCUGCACUUCAUGAUCAGACCAGAGACUAGGGGCCAGUUCUCUACUAACACUGAAAUGCUUGCUGACAAGCUUGAAUCCAAAAUAAAUGGCAACAAAAUAAAACAUUAAGUACAUUUUAUUAAAAUACUCAAUGAAGAUUGAUGGUAUUUACUAGAUGUUUUUUCAGAAAAUGCAAUUUGAUCAAGAUCAAAGAAUCUAGAUUGUGGAUAUUUGGCAAACUACAGUACUGUCAGAGGUAGGUUUCAAUGUUUUUUAACCAACAAGAAAGCUAGGUUUGACAAAAAAUAUAAAUCUUUGGGCCUGUUUCAGAAAAUAACUAAACUGUGUUGAGUAGGGACAGAACAACACUAUUCACUCAGAUUCGAACCGUCAACCUUUCAUUUACUGGUCUAAAGCUCUUGACUACUAACAUACCCUGGCACACCUGUUUGAGCAGGCAUACAUUUGCGAUCGAUUGGACAGGUUGUGGCACGUCAUCUACACUGUUAAGCACUUUUUUGAUGCUUCCCAAUAUGUUACCUUAACUCCCAGGGGAAUAGCCCCGGAUAUCAAACAGACCAAAAAAAUAUAAUAAUAAAAAAAUAUCUGAUCUAUUCAU